rnacentral:tRNA from 1 species
AUUACUUUGACAGAUUAAUGUAAUAAAUUUAGAAUUUAUAAAUGUAUAAAAUACAAGUAAUA